AGUGAACGCUGGCGGUAGGCCUAACACAUGCAAGUCGAACGGCAGCACAGUAAGAGCUUGCUCUUACGGGUGGCGAGUGGCGGACGGGUGAGGAAUACAUCGGAAUCUACUUUUUCGUGGGGGAUAACGUAGGGAAACUUACGCUAAUACCGCAUACGACCUACGGGUGAAAGCAGGGGCUCUUCGGACCUUGCGCGAUUGAAUGAGCCGAUGUCGGAUUAGCUAGUUGGCGGGGUAAAGGCCCACCAAGGCGACGAUCCGUAGCUGGUCUGAGAGGAUGAUCAGCCACACUGGAACUGAGACACGGUCCAGACUCCUACGGGAGGCAGCAGUGGGGAAUAUUGGACAAUGGGCGCAAGCCUGAUCCAGCCAUACCGCGUGGGUGAAGAAGGCCUUCGGGUUGUAAAGCCCUUUUGUUGGGAAAGAAAAGCAGCAUGUUAAUACCCCGCUGUUCUGACGGUACCCAAAGAAUAAGCACCGGCUAACUUCGUG
rnacentral:rRNA from 1 species